AUACAUGCAAGUCGAGCGGACAGAAGGGAGCUUGCUCCCGGAUGUUAGCGGCGGACGGGUGAGUAACACGUGGGUAACCUGCCUGUAAGACUGGGAUAACUCCGGGAAACCGGAGCUAAUACCGGAUAGUUCCUUGAACCGCAUGGUUCAAGGAUGAAAGACGGUUUCGGCUGUCACUUACAGAUGGACCCGCGGCGCAUUAGCUAGUUGGUGGGGUAAUGGCUCACCAAGGCGACGAUGCGUAGCCGACCUGAGAGGGUGAUCGGCCACACUGGGACUGAGACACGGCCCAGACUCCUACGGGAGGCAGCAGUAGGGAAUCUUCCGCAAUGGACGAAAGUCUGACGGAGCAACGCCGCGUGAGUGAUGAAGGUUUUCGGAUCGUAAAGCUCUGUUGUUAGGGAAGAACAAGUGCGAGAGUAACUGCUCGCACCUUGACGGUACCUAACCAGAAAGCCACGGCUAACUACGUGCCAGCAGCCGCGGUAAUACGUAGGUGGCAAGCGUUGUCCGGAAUUAUUGGGCGUAAAGGGCUCGCAGGCGGUUUCUUAAGUCUGAUGUGAAAGCCCCCGGCUCAACCGGGGAGGGUCAUUGGAAACUGGGAAACUUGAGUGCAGAAGAGGAGAGUGGAAUUCCACGUGUAGCGGUGAAAUGCGUAGAGAUGUGGAGGAACACCAGUGGCGAAGGCGACUCUCUGGUCUGUAACUGACGCUGAGGAGCGAAAGCGUGGGGAGCGAACAGGAUUAGAUACCCUGGUAGUCCACGCCGU
rnacentral:rRNA from 1 species